rnacentral:lncRNA from 1 species
CUCAGGAAAGCGAAAUCCGUUCGAUUGCUGUAAAAACAAAGAGAAAGGCAAUAAAAAGUAACUAAACAGUAUGUUAGAAAGGUCAAGGGCAAUUAUGUCAUUUACUAAUAUAUUUUAAAUUAAAAUGGCUAGAAAUCGAUUACAUUUGGAUCGGUGGCUAUUUUUCGAUAGCCACGAGUAAAACUGGCUACGCCAUACAAUUUAAACGUUUCUACUACCCACACUUCUGGUUUCUUGUGUUUCACCCCAGCUGCACCCUUUCUGGGCCUGAAUUACAAUCUAGGCCUUGUCUACAUCUCUGGUUAUCAGCCCACCAACAACCACAGAAAUCUUUACCAACAGUUUUGAGCAAUUUUUACUUCUCAAGUCCCAGCAUUGCAAAUAAAAUGGAAAGGGAAUUUUAAUUUGAGCAGAAGUUCCAUGUAAAAGACCCAACUCAGAACGAUUCAUACAUUUUUUCAAGAUCUUUUACCAUCAACCAUAUGUUAGCCGAAAUCUAUUGACAAUUAUUUAUUGCGACAGCAGCACAAAAUGCACACAGG